ensembl:lncRNA
CUUUUAGAGUAUAAAUUAGCUGAGUCUUUUCAGCCCUUGCAACUGCUUCGGAGACAAGCAACCUGCUGCUGAGUCCUUUACAAGAGCAGGAUUAGGGAAGGAUGAAAUUAAUUCCAGUGAGAAUUGGAGAAAGUAUCUCAGGAAGAUAUAGAACUUUAAUAGAAGAUGUGGCUCAUGUCAAACUGAAAGAGAAAGUAAAUCAGGCAAGGAAACCUCUGUGGUUUUUUCCUUUUUACUACAAUAACACUCAAAUGGAUUCCAUCUGGUCUACCAUUUGUGCACCUGUUCGCAGUUCCCUCCAUUCCGUUGACUCUUUGUGACCCCAUGGACUGCAGCACGCCAGGCUUCCCUGUCCUGCACCAUCUCCUGGAACUUGGUCUAACUCGUGUCCAUUGAGUCGGUGAUGCCAUCCAACCAUCUUGUCCUCUGCUGUCCCCUUCUCCUUCAAAGUUUCCCAGCAUCAGGGUCUUUUCUAAUGAGUUAGCUCUUUGCAUCCGAUGGCCAAAGCAUUCUACUUUCUAGGAUGUGUCAUCCUCUUUCCUUCUGCUUUGCCUUUUACCUUAUUUUCACUCCUCUAGUCCAGACCAGGGACCCCUCUCAUGUUUCUCAGAAUCCUCUGUUGAUGGCAGCAGUUUUAAAUUCUGAUUUUCUGAAGGAAAACAUUUAUCUUUAAGAUUUUGGGAGGAGGGAUGGCUUGAGUGUUGGUGGUGAUAAAGAGAUAAAUACUAAAGAGCAGAAUGUGAAAUGCAAUAGUAUUUGAACAGAUUUUAAGUUCCAUUUCCCAGUCCCUUACUUGGGUUUUCUUCUAUUCUCUUAUUUUAUCAUUGAAAAGCUAGGCAAUCUUCUCAAUCCCUCAUUUCAGAUCAGCAAAAGGUUUAUUUUCCCAAAAAUAACAGCAGGAGACAAAUGUAUGUAUUUGGUACAAAUAUGGAGAGGUAUUUUGAUCACAUCUGAUAAAAAUUACCCCUGAACAACAGAAAUGAAAAUGGAAAAAUGUCCAAAUUUUGAGAGAUGUUAGAAUCCAGGAUAAUCUCUAAAAGAUUUAAAUAUAUGAAGAAACAGUGCAAAUGAUAUUCUUCCAUACAUAUACAGAAAUCCCAUUUUCAUAAGGAGUUGAUGUUAGUUUGGGCCCAUUCCAUCUACAGUUUUCCAAGACUGUAAAAUUAGAGCUCUUGAACAUUGAACUUGUAGCAUAAGUGUUUCUUAAAGGGUUAUAUUUAAAAUAAGAUGACAAGACGAAGUAUGAGAACAUAAUUCUGAGAAGGCAUUUAGCUUAGGAAACCAGAAAUUGUAUACCAGUAGAGAAAAAGUGCUCUUGCCUGGAAAAUCCCAUGGACAGAGGAGCCUGGUUGGCUGCAGUCCGUGGGGUCGCUAAGAGUCGGACAAGACUGAGCGACUUCACUUUCACUUUUCACUUUCAUACAUUGGAGAAGGAAAUGGCAACCCACUCCAGUGUUCUUGCCUGGAGAAUCCCAGGGACGGGGGAGCCUGAUGGGCUGCCGUCUAUGGGGUCGCACAGAGUCGAACACGACUGAAGCGACUUAGCAGCAGCAGAGAAAAAGAAUGAUGUAUCAAUUAGCAAGCUAUACUUUUCCUAAAUGCCAAAGACAUUAAUAUCUCAACAAGUGAAAAAUAUAUUAAGAGUUGGUUAACUAAUAUCAAGUCAGUGAUUUAAUUUAUAUUCAGAAGGCUUUAACAUAUUAAUUCUAAGAUACUUUUAAAAAGAACAUAAAAAUCACUAAUAUUCAUUAUGUGUCAAUAAUUACUUUUAAUUUUUUAUUGUUCAGCUGCACUUAAAUAAAAUGAGAAAAUUAGAAUUAAUUUGGUUAGGAGGAUUUAAUUUCAAAAUAUUCCUCCUUUCUCCUCACAAGUUUUCAUUAUGGGCCAAACCCAAAAAAUAUUCCUUUAGGAAAUUAUACAAUUUAAUCAUUUUAUGUAUCCAGUUUUCUCUUUAAAUCCUUUUGGAGGCAUAAUGGGUAUUUAUACACAAUUUCAAGAGAUUAAACAUAAGAAAAUAACUGCUACCACAAGCUAAUGGAUACUUUCAGUUCAGUGCUUUACCUCUCUGGUGGUGUUCCUAUUAUUUUUCUUAAAACUUGAACUCUCCCUUGAAUAGGUUUCAUCAUAUCCCAGUUCAAAUUUAUGAAUUCAAUUACAUAUCUUUUGCAUCUCGUUUUUCAGACUGCAUCUACUGAAGUUUUUAAACUUUCACUAGUUUACAACCAUAUGUAUAAAGAAAUACACUUUUCUACCCAACUUAAAAACUAGAAUAAAAACUGAUUCACCCUAAUAUUUAGUAAAGUUCAUUUAUUCAGCAUUCUGUUAACUAGAACUCAUUAACAAGCAUUUAUGGCCACGCAUAGUACCAAAAAUAUUCAGUUGUCAAAAUGACACCUCUGUGGCAUUUAACAUUUGAACAACCCGGGAUUAAACCCAGAUCUCCCACGUUGUAGGCAGACGCUUUACCCUCUGAGCCACGAGGGAAACCCUUGAAAAGACAAUAAAAUAUAAAUCACUCUAUAGCUUUGAAAACUGGUAGUAGAGCUUCCCUGGUGACUCAGUGAUAAAGAAUUCUCCUGCCAAUGUAGGAGACACAGGUUUGAUGCCUGAGUGAGGAAGAUCCCCUAGAGAAGAAAAUGGCAACCAACUCCAGUAUUCUUGUCCAGAGAAUCCCAUAGAUAGAGGAAUCUGGUGGGCUACAGUCCAUGGGGUUGAAAAAGAGUGGGACACAACUUAGUGACUACAACAGCAACAAUAUGACUUUUACAUAUUAUAAUUGUUAUUAUCACACUGAUUUUAUCCACAAAUGGCCUUUUUUUAUUUUGUCCUUACUCAAGUUUCAUGCAUUCUGGAAUUCAGAGACCAAGCCCAUACCCUUUGUUGUUUUAUAAAUAUCAAUUGUCUUGCUGUCCCUAUUAUUCCCUCCCCUUAUCUUCUUAGAUCUAUCCUUUUAAACCACAGUGAAAACUGUAUGCUUGUUAUAUAAACAGUAUGCCCACAUACCUGCUGUUGCUGCUGCUAAGUUGCUUCAGUUGUGUCCGACUCUGUGCAAC